rnacentral:lncRNA from 1 species
GCUAAACAUAUAGCAAUAAUAGAACUAAUGAGGUGAAAAUAUGUUUAGAGCUGCCAAAGAUAAAAUUAGACAAAAGAAGGAAGUCAAGAAGUUGACAAAGGUACUUAUUAUGCAUUUGGCUAUAAUUGUCAGAAUUAGUGUCAUAAAAGAUGUAUAAAAUGUUUCCUUAUAUGGUAUUUUUUGAAAUGUGAUGGGUUUUUUUAGGUACAGCAACAGCCUUCAAAGUCUAAGGCACCUAACAAGCAAAAGGGAGGUAAAACUACUGGUCGUGUUGGUGGAAAACGCUGAUGUGUAGAUUUGCGUUGUGCAAUAAAUCAUCUGUAUUUAUCCACAGUUUUAUGGGUUUUUUUUCUGAAAAUGGCAGAUUUUUUCACAUUUCAUGCCAUUCGUGUGGUGUCUUGUUUCAUUCAUAAUCGUCUUGAGGGCUUUUCUUGUUCGUUUUGAAGUUUUUUCUUGUGAAUUUUACAAUGGAUUGGUGAUGCGGAAAGUAGAACAAAUAAAGUGCAAAAUUGUUGUUAGUUUACAAAUUGUAAGGAUUCUCAACUUGCAUACUUCUGUUUGAAGACAUUCGAUAAAUACUUGCACAGGAUAAAAGUCACUACCAAUAUAUUAUAUUAUGCAGGGAAAAUUCUU